UGUAUUUAUUAGAUAAAAAACCAAUGCCGUUCGCGGCUUUUUGGUGAUUCAUGAUAACUUUACGGAUCGCAUAGCCUUGCGCUGGCGACGGUUCAUUCAAAUUUCUGCCCUAUCAACUUUCGAUGGUAAGGUAUAGGCUUACCAUGGUUUCAACGGGUAACGAGGAAUUAGGGUUCGAUUCCGGAGAGGGAGCCUGAGAAACGGCUACCACAUCCAAGGAAGGCAGCAGGCGCGCAAAUUACCCAAUCCCGACACGGGGAGGUAGUGACAAUAAAUACUGAUACAGGGCUCUUGUGGGUCUUGUAAUUGGAAUGAGUACAAUUUAAACCUCUUAACGAGGAACAAUCGGAGGGCAAGUUUGGUGCCAGCAGCCGCGGUAAUUCCAGCUCCAAUAGCGUAUAUUAAAGUUGUUGCAGUUAAAAAGCUAGUAGUGGAAACUUGGGCCUGGCUGGCGGGUCCGCCUCACCGCGUGCACUCGUCCGGCCGGGCCUUCCUUCUGAAGAACCUCAUGCCCCUCACUGGGCGUGCUGGGGAACCAGG
rnacentral:rRNA from 1 species